AUGAAAAGAGGAGGAUGGUCUAACCCCCCGACGGGAUUUGUUAAACUUAACGUUGAUGCUUCUUUUGACCACGACCUUCUCAGGGGUACGAUCGGGGCUGUCUUAAGAGAUGACAAAGGUAGGUUCAUCAGUGGGGGAAAUGGUAAGAUUAACUGGUGUGCAGAUGUGUUGAUGGCUGAAGCUUUGGCGUUAAAAUUUGGCCUAUCGCUUGCGCAAAGGACGGGUUGUAAUCGCAUAAUUAUUAACUCGGAUAAUAUGGAGGUGAUCGAGACCAUGAACGAAGGAGGACGAUCGUCGGGGGCAGCUGCUGCAAUUUUUGAUGACUGUUUUCACUUAGCUUGCGACUUCCCUAUUUCUAGAUUCGAGCAUUGUAAUAGAGAAGCAAAUAAAGUUGCUCAUGAACUUGCCAAGUUGGCUAGAUUUUCUUUCAUUUCUGAUUGGUUUGAGGAACCACAUAAUGCAAUUGUACCAAUCCUCAUAAACGAUGUAAUGAUUAUUUCUAAUGAAUAA
rnacentral:rRNA from 1 species